GAGAGUAUAGCUCAAGAGGCAGAGCAUGUGCUUGGCAUGCACAAGGUCCUGGGUUCAAUCCCCAGUACCUCCU
rfam:Camelus ferus unplaced genomic scaffold scaffold621, whole genome shotgun sequence.